AGAUUGAACGCUGGCGGCAUACCUAACACAUGCAAGUCGAACGGCAGCGCGGGUAGCAAUACCUGGCGGCGAGUGGCGGACGGGUGAGGAAUACAUAGGAAUCUACCCUGUCGUGGGGGAUAACGUAGGGAAACUUACGCUAAUACCGCAUACGACCGAGAGGUGAAAGCGGCGGACCGCAAGGCGUCGCGCGGCUGGAUGAGCCUAUGUCCGAUUAGCUAGUUGGCGGGGUAAGAGCCACCAAGGCGACGAUCGGUAGCUGGUCUGAGAGGAUGAUCAGCCACACUGGGACUGAGACACGGCCCAGACUCCUACGGGAGGCAGCAGUGGGGAAUUUUGGACAAUGGGCGAAAGCCUGAUCCAGCAAUGCCGCGUGCAGGAAGAAGGCCGUUCGGUUGUAACGUGCUUUUGUACGGAACGAAAGGACUCGUUACUAAUAAA
rnacentral:rRNA from 1 species